rnacentral:ncRNA from 2 species
CUCUUAUCGAGAGUGGCGGAGGGACUGGCCCGAUGAAGCCCGGCAACCAGUCGGUGGCGGUGGUCACCGGCCAGGUGCUAAUUCCUGCGGGAGAUCGAUUCUUCUGGGAGAUAAGAG